rnacentral:miRNA from 2 species
CAAGCUCGUGUCUAUGGGUCU